rnacentral:rRNA from 1 species
UACGUAGGGGGCAAGCGUUGUCCGGAUUUAUUGGGCGUAAAGAGCGUGUAGGCGGCUUGGUAGGUCCGCUGUGAAACUCGAGGCUCAACCUCGAGAUGUCGGCGGAAACCACUUGGCUAGAGUCCGGAAGAGGAGAGUGGAAUUCCCGGUGUAGCGGUGAAAUGCGUAGAUAUCUGGAGGAACACCGGUGGCGAAGGCGGCAUCCUGGACCAAUAUUGACGCUGAGGAGCGAAAGCCAGGGGAGCAAACGGG